rnacentral:tRNA from 1 species
GCGGGUGUAGCUCAAGGGUAGAGCCCUAGCCUUCCAAGCUAGUGAUGUCGGUUCGAUUCCGUCCACCCGCUCCA